CACCAAUCACGCCCGGGUACUACGAGCCCAGCUUAAAACCCAAAGGACUUGACGGUGUCCCAUCCAACUAGAGGAGCCCGUUCUAUAAUCGAUAAUCCCCGAUUUACCCAACCCCAUCUUGCCAAUCAGCCUGUAUACCUCCGUCGUAAGCUUACCAUAUGAAUGCACACAGUAAGCUAAUGAUUUAACAUCAGUACGUCAGGUCAAGGUGCAGCUUAUGAUGGGGAAAGCAAUUGGCUACAAUCUCUAAUAUAAAACACACGAAAUGCUUUAUGAAACACAGCAUGAAGGCGGAUUUAGUAGUAAAAAGA
rnacentral:rRNA from 1 species